AGGACAAUUUUGUGAUGUGCAGGUCUCAUUGGGACACAUGAUAACUUUAGUUCUGGGCUUUGAUCUGGAUUUCCACCACCCUGCAUCUGUGCUGGCUCUGUUGCUUUGCCCAGCAGUUGAGGAUUUGCAUGCAACCAGAGCACAGCCCACUUGGCCUGAGAACUUCUUUAAAGCUGCUCACAUUCUGUGUAUCAGUCAGUCCCAGUCAGCACAUACCAUGGACAUGAGGGCCCCUGCCCAGCUCCUGGGGCUCCUGCUGCUCUGGCUCCCAGAUGCGAGGUGUGGCAUCCAGAUGACCCAGUCCCCAUCCACCUUGUCUGCAUCUGUAGGAGGCACAGCCACCAUCACUUGCAGAGCCAGUGAAAACAUUUAUGGCUAUUUAGCCUGGUACCAGCAGAAACUAGGGGAAGCCCCUAAACUCCUGAUCUAUGGUAGUAGUACUUUGGCAUCUGGCGUUCCAUCCAGGUUCAGUGGCAGUGGAUCUGGGACAGAUUAUUCUCUCACCAUCAGCAGCCUGCAGCCUGAAGAUGUUGCCACUUAUUACUGUCAAAAACAUAUGCCACUCAUAGUGGGACCACUCAGCACUGGUCUUCUAUUGGUGGGCUUAAGGCCUUGUUACCGAGGCAACCUCACGUCAGCGGGUGGUUAUGAAACCAACAGCUGUGUGGCUGCUUCAUAUAAAGAACCUGCCUUGUACUUCUACUCCUAUGGCUACUAG